CUUCCACCUACUGCUGCUCUCCAUUUUCUCCAUUUUUAUUUUUCUCUUCGAUUUUUCGCCUCCCUCAUAUUCGAUAUUCACUGUGAUUAGUUCGUCUGGAGAGAGGCAAGAGAGAAAUCAUGGCUUUUCAGAAGAUCAAGGUCGCCAAUCCCAUCGUUGAGAUGGACGGAGAUGAAAUGACUCGAGUUAUUUGGGAGUCAAUAAAGAAUAAGCUUAUUUUCCCCUUUUUGGAAUUGGACAUCAAGUAUUUUGACCUUGGCCUUCCACACCGUGAUGCGACAGAUGAUAAAGUUACAGUUGAAAGUGCAGAAGCUACUUUAAAGUAUAAUGUAGCUAUCAAAUGUGCAACAAUUACUCCAGACGAGGCACGUGUUAAGGAAUUCAGCUUGAAGCAGAUGUGGAAAAGUCCAAAUGGGACAAUCAGGAAUAUUCUGAAUGGUACUGUCUUCAGAGAACCAAUUCUUUGCAAAAACGUUCCUCGCCUUGUCCCAGGUUGGACGAAACCUAUCUGUAUCGGGAGACAUGCUUUUGGUGAUCAAUACAGAGCUACUGAUACAGUUAUCAAAGGACCUGGAAAAUUGAAAUUGGUUUUUGAGGGGCAAGAGAAGACAGAGAUAGAGGUUUUCAAUUUUACUGGUGCUGGAGGAGUAGCAUUAUCCAUGUAUAAUACUGACGAGUCAAUCCGAUCCUUUGCUGAGGCAUCAAUGAACACUGCUUAUGAAAAGAAAUGGCCACUUUACCUUAGCACAAAAAAUACUAUUCUAAAGAAAUAUGAUGGAAGAUUCAAGGAUAUAUUCCAAGAAGUCUAUGAAUCCCAGUGGAAAUCGAAGUUUGAGGCUGCUGGCAUAUGGUAUGAACACCGUCUCAUUGAUGAUAUGGUGGCUUAUGCACUUAAGAGUGACGGAGGUUAUGUCUGGGCAUGCAAGAACUAUGAUGGAGAUGUACAGAGUGAUUUCUUAGCUCAAGGAUUUGGAUCUCUUGGGUUGAUGACUUCUGUAUUGGUUUGCCCUGACGGAAAGACAAUUGAAGCAGAAGCAGCUCAUGGUACUGUUACACGACAUUUUAGGGUUCAUCAAAAAGGAGGUGAAACCAGCACAAACAGUAUAGCAUCCAUCUUUGCUUGGUCACGUGGCCUUGCACACAGGGCAAAACUAGAUGACAAUGCUAGUCUCUUAGACUUCACCGAGAAGCUAGAAUCGGCUUGUAUUAAUACUGUGGAAUCUGGGAAGAUGACCAAGGAUCUUGCUCUUAUUCUUCAUGGAUCCAAGCUUUCUCGAGACCACUAUCUGAAUACUGAAGAAUUCAUUGAUGCUGUGGCUGAGGAACUAAAAGCCAGACUUCUUAUCAAGGCAUAGUGGUUUACGUUUCCCAUUGAAAAGAAGAAUGAAAGAAGAAUAUCUGCAGUUUGAAGUGAUCUACUCAGAGUGAUCCGUCGGAAAAGGCUAGAAUAUGAAGACUGACUGCUGAGAUACUUUGAGAUGAAUAAAAGAUGAAAACUAACGGAAAUGGGAACUAUGUGGAAUCCGUCGUUGGGCGGUUCAAGGCUACAGUUGUUUUCUGUGAUUGAGAAAUGUUUUAAUGUCAAUUGUCAUAGGAAUAAUGAACGAACAUAAGCUUCAGUGUUAUAGUUCAUUUCUACAUUUGGUGGAAAAUGGAAUUAUAUAUUAUUUCAGUUUCAUGAUUCAUGAGGUGAAAUUUGUUUAAUGAUGAUGGUUUUCUGGGUUUGAGUUUGGCUGGAAAAUGGAUGUCUACUUUUUGGCCGA